rnacentral:lncRNA from 1 species
CUUUUCUGGGAACGCACAGCUGGCUUCGUUUAGGUAGAAGGACAACCCCCUGAAGUGGAGGAGACUUGGGCCAGACUAGACUAGCCAGGAUGGAGGAAGAGCCAGAAUAAUCCUUAAGGAGGGAAAGGCAGGGCACAGCUGGCCCAAAGAGUGAUGUGAGACCACGCAACAGAUAGGAACCAAGUUCUGGGGACAGCAGAUGCAGAAUCGGGAGUGGUGAAGCCUGCCUAGUGGAUGCUGGUUCAGAACAGAAGACUCAGACCAACGCUAAGAACCAAGGAAGAGGACGAAGGUCUGCCUAUCCCUCCUCUUGUCUCCAGGUUGGGACCAGAAGCACAUCCAGCUGCUGCCAGAAAUCCCCACCUGACCCUGCUUUCGGGCAGGGAGCUGGGCCCCCUCGUGCUGCAGAACCCUCCACCCACCAGCGCCUGGCCACUCCCAAACCAGCUGCAGAGGCUUGGAGAGGACACUUCAUAAGACAAAGUGUACCCAACUCAAAAAGGGCGUGCUGCCACAUCCAGCUGUCUUCCGGAAAGAACCAGAUCAACUGCUACUCUGCUGAAGAUGGAAAAAAUCCCAUUAAUUUCCUGAGUCUGGACACAGCCCCAGAUGACUGAAGCGUCAAUCUCCCAGCCUCUGUGCAAUGGAGCUAACCCCCUCCCGAUCCUUUCUCUAAUCCAGGGUUUCUCAACCUUGCCACUGACAUUUUGGGCCAGAUAAUUGUAUGUUGAAAGGACUGUCCUGUGCCUCAUAGGAUGUUGAGCAGCAUCCCUGGCCUCUACUCAUUAGAUGCCAGUAGCAGCUCACCCACCCAACUGUUAUAGCCACAAGUGUCUCCAGACAUUGCCAAAUGUCUCCUGGGGUCAGUAAGACAACAGAUUGCCCCCAGUUAGGAUUACAGUAAAAUUGCCCCCAGGUAAGAACCAUUGCUCAAAUCUUAAGCAUAGCUUGAUCCGGAGCUGUUCGAUGUUGCAGGAUAAUAACCCCUACACUGGACAUUACUUAUCCACACUGCAGGCUUCUAGUGAUCAGUAACUCACAUGGAACACUUAUUAAGUGCCAGGCAUCCCACAUCUAACAUAGAUCAACUCACUGACUCCUCACAGCAGCCCUUUGGGGCAGGUACUCUUAUUACUCCAUUUUACAGAUGAGGAGACUGAAGCACAAGAGGUUCGAUGAGUUACUCAGGGUUAUGCUGUUGACAAACUACCCCAGAAAGCCAGGCUCUCUGCAGGGCAUGUGCCCGCAUUUAUGUGCUCAUUGAAUCCUAACUACUUUACAAGUCAAAGUGCCAUGAUGUGUGGAUUUCAUAGGAGGAAACGGAGGCUCAUGCAGUUUCCAUGAACUCACCCAGUAUCCCAUAGCCAUGGCAACUGGCAGAGCCAGGGUUUGAACCCAAAGCUUAUGGUGAAGCCCGUUAUCUUCCCACUACUCCUGACUGCCUUUUAGAGAUGCGCAAAUACACUUUUGGCUUGACAGAUGCUUAGAGAUUUUAUUCACAUAGAUAAUAAGUGAAGAUUUAUUGAAUAGUUAUUGAUGUCCACUCCAUGCGAGGUCCUGUAGUUAAGAACACAGGCCCUUCCUUAUCUUUUAGAGACAAUGCUGAACUAUCUAAAGAUGAUGUGAGGUCUGGAAUUUGCUUCAACCUAACCCAGGGUGUGGAGGAGUGAUUGGUGGGGGGACACAUGAAAUGGGAUGGGUGGUAAGCUGGUAACUGUGGAGGCCGGUGAUGGCUAUGUCUUUAACUCUUGUGAUAUUUUCCAUCUUACGAUGACUUUUAAAGUGUGAACACUGAAUUCUUGUCUGGGUUUAUGCCCUGGCUUCACCACCCAGGGUGUCAUCUUGAAUACUUUUCUUUGCUUCUCUAGACCUUGGUUUCCUCCUCCCUAAACUGAGCAUAAUCAUUUCCAGCUGACAGGGUUGUUGUAAGGAUUGAGUAAGAUGACCCAGGACAGUAUGUGGACCACCUGCACAGAGUGAGGACCUGGCCAAUAGCAGGACUCCUCAGGGCUCAUAGCAGCUCCUCUGACAUCGCUACAAGGACUUCACUGUCUGCAAGUAGACAGGGAAGACAGCCUCAUUCCAGAACCUCACCCUAGCAGUAUCCUCAGUCUACCUCCAGCCCAGAUUGCGAGGGCGGCCCUAAGCCUUGUGAUGGCCCUGGAGGGAGUCUGAGCUACCCAGACAGCAGGAUGGAGACAAAACUUCUAAUCCCCAUGAAGGACUCUGAGUUCGUGCAAGCCCUCCACCCCUCGGCACCAGCUGUGAAAAGGCCUCAUCUGGAAUUCCUGGUGGUUGAGCAGACAGCAAGGUCCUUGCUGAAGCCACAGAUGAGGGGACCCUCCCACCCAUUCAGCCCUUUCCCCUUGCUUCCUCUGCACUCUUGAGGGGCUGGCCCCCUUCUCUCAUCAGCUGUCUGGGCUGGUUGAAUUAUUUCAGUGUUCUCGGACUCUCAGGAGUUGGCAUAGAGCGUUGGAAGCCCUCCAGGAAUUCCAGCUGGGUAUGGAGCAUGGAUGAACUUGGCAGGUCACCUACUUCCUACUCAGUGCCUGUCCACUUCCCCUGGGCUGACAGGAAGGGAUAGGGAUUGUCUCAUGAUUGGAGGGUGUCUUCUUGGGGACUGGGCCUCCAUUCGGCAAAUAUUCCAUGAGUUGUCCUCCGUGUCCCAGACUUCCUUACAGUAGUAAGUUGCAGCCGUGUGACUAAUCCCCAUCAAUGGGCUGUGAGAGGAAAUGACACGUGUAACUUCUGGGCCACGGCGGUUAACAGCCAGAGCGCCUUGGCCUCCCUCCUCUUCCCCAGAUGCAGUGACCUUGGGGGCCAUGCAUUCCAAAUGACAUGGGACCGCAAUGGAGGAAACAAACCUUUAUUGUCUAGCACUGCUGAGCUUGGGGGUUUAUCUGCCUCUGCAGCAGAGCCAAGCCUAACCUGACUAAUAACAGGGCCUGUUGAAAAUAUCAUUUCAACCUCCAGGGUCUGGGGUCUAAAGGUCAGCCAUGCAGGCAGGCAGGCAUCGACCAUGACUCCCCAGUAAAAACUCAGAACACCAAGGCUCAGGUAAGCCCCCCGGUUGGCAAUAUUCUGCUUAUUGUCACACAUCAUACCUGGAGGAGUCAGCCCUGUCUGUGACUCCACAGGCAAUGAACAAUGGGAGCUCUGACAUUGGAACCCUCUUGGGUUCUACCCCACAUGUGUCUUCCUUGAUUUGAUCUGUAUCCUUACACAGUAAUAAACCAUAACCAUGGGUAUAAACACUUUCAGUGACUUCCAUGAGUCUUUCUAGCAAAUGGUCAAACCUGAGAAUGGCCUUGGGAAUGAACGCCCAAACUCCACAGUUAGAAGUGAGGGUGGUCUGUGGACUGCCCCCCUGACUUCAAGCUGCCUUUGCUUUCCCUCAUGAAAGACCUGGAGCCAAAGGUGGCACCAUGUGAAUGGACCUUGCCAGACCCUGGAGAUAGAUUCAUGGGCCCAUCUGUCCUCAGGGGCCAACAUCACAAAUGAGGAAAAUGAUGGAGACUCUCCUUUGACAACACUGGGUCAUCUGACAGAGUCUGAUGAACUUGCAGCCCCAUCUGGAUGUUCAGGUCACAUCUGCAAGGGGUCUGGUAUGAAGAUGUUCAUUUCAGCACUGCUGGUGGGAGCGGGAGCUGGAGGGAGCUCAGGUGUGCAUCCCUCAGGGACUGGA